rnacentral:misc_RNA from 1 species
AAUGGUUAAUUUGUGAUGCACUGUGUUAUUGAAUAAUAUUAAUUACUAGAUUUUUUGGUUCAAUAGCUGCAAGUUCCUUCGCGCUUUUCCUCACCAAGAACCCCUUGAACACUUUUUGGAUCAUAAUAAUCUCAGACAGUUUCAAUCCAAGAUAAUGUCUUCCUUACUAAGAUAUUUUGAUUUCAUUCAUAGAUGAGAAUUUUUUUUUUUCCUUAUAAAAAAGGUAAACUUUUUGUUUUCAUUCUGAGAUUGAACGAGUGAGAGGAGGAGUAAGCCAAACAUAAGUAUGAGAGAGAGAGAGAGAGGUAGAUUUGUUUCUUUUGACUUUGCAGCUCAAUGUUGCUAAUUAGGAUCAAGGAUUAAUUGCAAUAGAACCCCUAUGGCUUUCUUUAAUGUACAUUUUGGUUUUUAUUAUUUCAAAAUUAGCGAUAAGAACCUCAUUUUACUAUAAACUUUAAAAUUGGGUUUUCCUUGUUGAUUGGGAUUAAAAUGGCUGAUGUGGAGGACAUAUAAGCGAUUCCAGUUACAUUCUCAUUGGAUUCUAGUGAAUGUUCUUCAUUUGGAAUAUAAAAUUAGAGUUGGAUUAACAAAAAUUAUUAAAUGAAAGUUUUCUUAUCAAAAUGAAUUUAACAAGUUGAGAGACAAUUGAAAUUUCUUGCAACAUCUUCCCAUAGACAUCCAACUCAAGUAUAAUACAUUAAAAACAGUACUCUAAUAUCUUAUGUUUGGUUAGAAGUUUCGAAAGACCCGGCUAGCUAAGGAAUUAGUCAUGUUUUAGGGCUACAACUUUAUCUUCAAAUAAGAAUCCUUCUAAAUUUAGUUCACAUAGAAAUUCAUAUAGAUUUAAGAAUACUAAGGAAUAAGAUUAGCCCUUUUUAUCCAUUAAUUAUCAUUUUUUGUCCAUUCUAUACCUAAUGUACUUUAAUAUUUGUUAUACAAUAUAUAGAUUUUAGGG